UUUUGUUUAUACUUCAUUUGGAAUUAAUUUCCAAUAAGAAAAUGUUUCCUUCCAUAUUUUUACCUUUUUGUUUCACUGAUGUGAUUAUUUUUCUUAAGUUUUUCCAGUGAAAAAUAUCCAUUAACUUAUACACACACACACGAUACCGGUGUUUGCUUACCACAGGAGUGCACAAAGCAAGUUUGGCAUAGCCAGUGUGAUAGGUGGCUCAAAAUAAGCUAAAACCGUUUAGUUCUAAAAUGUAAAAAGUUGAACUAAUAGACGCUUUCAGCUGCUCCUCUAUUUCCACAGAAGUCCCAAAACAGAUGGAUCCACAUCACUUGGCACAGAAUUUAUGAUGCAACCUCCCAUUUGUCUGAGCUUAAAGUCCACAAACCUGGCCUAAUGUUUCGUUCACUAUGACCUGAAAUUAGCAAAUCAGCCCAUGAACUCACCAGGAAACAAUUUAAAGAGGUCCAGGCAGACAGAUAUUUACACAGGAGCUUAAAUCUUUUUUGCAACCAUAACUAUCGCCCCCUGGUGGCCAGCGAGAAAAAAAUAUAGGUUUAGGGCACUUUGUAUUGGCUUCACCUUUCAGACCUGGAGUUUGAAAAGAGACUAAAGAGGACAUUUGAAACACCAGCUGAGUCUCCAUCAGCACAUAAAGAAACUAUUGAUUGUCCCCACUUCAGUCAGAGACGUCACAGAGAAGCAUGCAGUGAAAGGAAACACUGCAAAUACCUGAACUCUGUUACUCACAUCAAUUCAGCUGAAAUUCCAGCAAUAAACACAUUUAGCAGCUAAUCAGCAGUAAUGAAAAGAUGAAAGUGUUGCACUCGACAUUAAUGUGGCCUUGUGGCACACCCGUCUGCUGCCACCAUCUUUACAUCAUCAAACACUUCAAAACUAAUGCUGGGCACAAAAUUUCAACUGUGGAAAUCUAACGUGCAGAUUUUGUAUCUGGAAAAGUAUCGACUGAACUGAAGAAAUCAUCGACGGUGGGACUGAGUAUGUGUGCUGUACAUCACAAUGUUUUGUUCAAUUUUGUUAACACCAGUGAGGUUUUUCUUGUGGUAGUGUUUUUUUAAAAACUUUUUUUAACUCUUUCUCUCAUUAAGUUGAAAUUUGUAAUUUUUUUAAACCUGAGUAAGCUAUGAGAGCAGUUGUAUGAGCUGUAGUUUAUGUUUUCUGUUAUUCAACUGAAUGAAACAGCAUAAAGAGUUUUUGAAUAAAGUGAGACAUGUUUUCAACAGUAGAUGAGUCAAUGUGGGCUUUUAACUGGACUGCUAGGAUGAGUCAGGAUGUUGGGUUAAAUUUGAUUUGGAAAAUAACUAAAGCUGUCAAACAAAUGUAAAGGAGUAAAAAAUACUGAAUUUUCUGCAAUAAAUCUUUUAAAAUAACAGCUGUAAAAAUGCUGUAAAAAGACUAUAAUCUUAAAAUGUGAGUUUAAGGUUCACCAUAAUCCAGUUUGCAUUUGUUCCAGGUUUGCUGUACUGCAACCUUAGAGAUCAUCA
ensembl:lncRNA